rnacentral:rRNA from 1 species
CCUACGGGAGACUGCAGUGAGGAAUAUUGGUCAAUGGGCGAGAGCCUGAACCAGCCAAGCCGCGUGAAGGAUGACGGCCCUACGGGUUGUAAACCUCUUUUGUCAGGGAGCAAUUGGGUCCACGCGUGGGCCUAGCGAGAGUACCUGAAGAACAAGCAUCGGCAAACUCCGUGCCAGCACCCGCGGCAAGACGGAGGAUGCGCGCGUUAUCCGGAUUUAUUGGGUUAAAGGGGUGCGUAGGCGGAAUAUCAAGUCAGUGUGAAAGAUUCGGGUUUAAACCCCGUCGUGCCGUUGAAACUGAGGUACUUGAGUGGGCGAGAGGUAUGCGGAAGGCGUGGUGUAGCGGUGAAAUGCGUAGAUAUCACGCAGAACACCGGUUGCGAAGGCAGCUUACCGGCGACCAACUGACGCUGAGGCACGAAAGCGUGGGGAUCGAACAGGAUUAGAUACCCCUGUAGUC